AUACGUUUCUGUAUAGUAUAUUUUCAGAAAGAAGAAGAGUUAGGCUUGUUUUUUGUGUUAUUUUUUUACAUGAUUGUCAUACCUUUUUUUUGACUAUUUUGCUCAUGAAAAUUAUGUUGAUGUUUACUUGUUCAAUUAUUGUUGAAGGAAUCUAUAUUCCGCUUUUUUGAUUUUUUAAAUAAGUUUCUACAUGCAUUUCUUUUGCACCUGCCAAAUUUCAUGAAAAAAUAUUAUGUAGCAAUUAGUUAAUUCAGUUAAACACUUUUGGUACCUAAUUUCUGUUUUCAAAAAUAGCCGAGGUGGGGCUGAGGGGGAGAGAGUUUUUUUUUUCUUUAAAAAUGUUUAUUGCAUAUUGUUUCACUUAGAUUGUUAGUAAUUAAAAAAAUGAAUAAUAUAAAUGAACUGGGUAAUCAAACAGAUACUUCAUCGUCAUCUGAUGCAGUUGUUUUAUCAACAUCUGCCAGUGGCAAAUUUUUUCAGAUCUGUAUAGAGUUAAUGUCGAAAUCAAAGUUAUUUUGGUUAAUUUUUUUACCUUUAGCUUUGUCACCAUCUGCUAUGGUUGAUAAGUUUGAAAACUUUUUUUAAAAAACAACUAUGUAUAGAUUUGUUGGCAAAAACUAUGUAUGUUUUGUUCUUUACAUUUUUUUUACCUUAUGUUUUAUCUACAUUGAGAACAUUUGGUAUGUUAAUCUUUUAUGAUUUAUCUAUUGUAUUAUACUUAGUCUUUUAAUU